CAAUAGCGUAUAUUAAAGUUGUUGCAGUUAAAAAGCUCGUAGUUGGAUUUCUGGCAGGGGGUAGCAGCCCGCUUGCAGCGUGGCCUUGCAAUCCCCUACCAUCCUUCUGUUAACGCGCCAGGGCAUUCACUUGUCGGGCGCGGGCUCAGAUAAUUUACCUUGAGAAAAUUAGAGUGUUUCAGGCAGGCUCGCGCCGGGAUACAUUAGCAUGGAAUAAUGGAAUAGGACUUUCGCCUCUUCUGUUGGUCUGAGGGGUGAUCGUAAUGAUUAAUAGGGAUAGUUGGGGGCAUUAGUACUUAACUGUCAGAGGUGAAAUUCUCGGAUUUGUUAAAGACUAACUUAUGCGAAAGCAUUUGCCAAGGAUGUUUUCAUUAAUCAAGAACGAAAGUUAGGGGAUCAAAGAUGAUUAGAUACCGU
rnacentral:rRNA from 1 species